rnacentral:rRNA from 1 species
CAGUAGCCACGGUAAUACGGAGGGUGCAAGCGUUAAUCGGAAUUACUGGGCGUAAAGCGCACGCAGGCGGUCUGUCAAGUCAGAUGUGAAAUCCCCGGGCUUAACCUGGGAACUGCAUUUGAAACUGGCAGGCUAGAGUCUUGUAGAGGGGGGUAGAAUUCCAGGUGUAGCGGUGAAAUGCGUAGAGAUCUGGAGGAAUACCGGUGGCGAAGGCGGCCCCCUGGACAAAGACUGACGCUCAGGUGCGAAAGCGUGGGGAGCAAACAGGAUUAGAGACCCCUGUAGUCCCUGUCUCUUAUAC